rnacentral:rRNA from 1 species
CCGGCCAUAGCGAUGGGGUUCGACCUGGUCCCAUUCCGAACCCAGAAGUCAAACCUAUCGUCGCUGCCGUGUUAGUAAGGUGCGGAAGCACUUGCGAAGCGGCAGUGCCG